rnacentral:rRNA from 1 species
AUUGAACGCUGGCGGCAGGCCUAACACAUGCAAGUCGGACGAGUGGCGGACGGGGGAGGAAUGUCUGGGAAAAUGCAUGAUGGAGGGGGAUAAAUAAUGGAAACGGGAGCUAAUACCGCAUACCAUCGGAUGUGCCCAGAUGGGAUUAGCUAGUAGGUGGGGUAAAGGCUCACCUAGGCGACGAUCCCUAGCGGGUCUGAGAGGAUGAACAGCCACACUGGAACUGAGACACGUUCCAGACUCCGACGGGAGGCAGCAUUGGGGAAUAUUGCACAAGGGGCGCAAGCCUGAUGCAGCUAUGCCGCGUGUAUGAAGAAGGCCUUCGGGUUGUAAAGUACUUUCAGCGGUGAGGCGUUACCCGCAGAAGAAGCACCGGCUAACUCCGUGCCAGCCGCCGCGGUAAUUC